AGCCCGGUGGCGAAUGGUUCGCACCCGUCUUCGAAUAAGCAUCGUGCGAGAAUCGCUCGUUCGAAUCGAGCCUGGGCUA